GUCCUCAUAAACUUACUUUCUCAUGGGAAAGGAAUAAGCUCACAGGAACACAGAAGAAAGGAGACAGCAGCAGCUGCACAUGGUCUGGUUGGGAGGAUAAAAUGGCGUGCUAUGGAAACACAUUCAUCAUUUUGUCUCCAGCAGCCUGGAAUCUGCUUUAGAGAAAACGCUCCCCAAAUGGUUAUUGAAUGAAUGAGUGAUGACCCC